rnacentral:rRNA from 1 species
AUGGCUGAUCCUAGCAUGAUGAUUUGUGCAGCCCUGCAGCCUGUGUGUGGCUUCAUCAAUAACACAGGGGCACCAGCAGCUACUGCAAGACGUUUCUCAUCUUCCGUUUGCAUCAAGCGCAACCGGAGAGCCCUUACGAAAGCCAUUGAAGACCUACAAGCUGUAGAGAAGGUGGUUCAAGAACAAGUUAGCGUUGAAACCAACCAGCUCAACAAGUGCGAUCCUCGAGUCGAAUUAUGGCUGAGCAGGGUCGAUGGAGUCCUCGUCCCAAUUGAUGCCAUCGAACAAGAGUGUGACCAACUCAUGCAAUACUCUUGCUUCUGUAGCUCUUCCCUAAGCCUUGGGAAACGCUAUCGUCUUCGCAAGCGUGUUCUUGAGAUUCUGGAGGAUCUUCGUGGGCUAAUUGAGGAAGGGAAUCAAUUCAAGGUAUUCGGAAGCAAGCCUUUGCCAGCUUUGGUUGAGGAUCAACCAAGGAUAGAAGCCCUUGGCAUCAAGCCUGUGCUGAAGAAUCUCUGGGAAUUUUUCAACAGCAGCAAUGUGGGCAUCAUUGGAAUUUGGGGUCCAGGAGGGGUUGGGAAAACAACCCUCCUCAACACCUUCAACAAUGAACUCAAGGAGUGGGGCACCGAUUACCAGGUGGUAAUCAUGAUUGAAGUGUCCAACUCUGGAAAUCUAAAUAUAGCAGCCAUCCAGCGCAUGAUUACAGACCGCCUUGGCUUGCCUUGGAAUGACACAGAGACAGUGCAAACUCGUGCCAGAUUCUUGGCAAAAGCACUGGGAAGAAAGAAAUUUAUCAUUUUACUGGAUGAUGUCCGGAACAAAUUCAAAUUAGAAGAUGUCGGGAUCCCAGCCCCAGAUUCUGAAAUCAAAAGCAAGUUGAUUCUUACCUCACGUGAUGAGGAUGUUUGCUAUCAAAUGGGAGCACACCAGAGUUUGAUCAAGAUGGAGUACCUAGAGAAGGAGUCAGCGUGGGAGCUCUUCCAAAACAAUUUGAGCACUAAUGCCAUUGCAGCCAUUGAGUCUCCUGCCCCUAAUGUUGUACGAGAGCAUGCUGAAGCAAUUGUCCAGAGCUGUGGUGGUUUGCCACUUGCACUCAAGGUAAUAGGGAGGGCCGUUGCUGGACUAACAGAACCCGAGGAUUGGAGCCUGGCGGUGCAAGCAACCAAGGAUGACAUAAAGGACUUGCAUGGAGUACCAGAAAUGUUCCAUAAAUUGAAAUACAGUUACGAUAAGUUGAUCAAGCAACAACAACGGUGUUUCCUGUACUGCACCCUUUUUCCAGAAUAUGGUUCAAUCAGAAAAGAUAAGCUUGUGGAGUACUGGAUGGCAGAUGGGUUGAUACCUCAGGACCCCAAGAAAGGCCAUCAUAUAAUCCGUAGCCUGUUGUCAGCAUGCUUGUUAGAGAGUUGCAAAUCUGACUCUUCGAAGGUCAAAAUGCACCACAUUAUUCGCCAUCUGGGGAUUUCCCUUGCAGUGCGGGAAAAUAUUAUUGUGAAGGCUGGAAUGAGUUUGGAGAGGGCUCCAUCAGAGAGGGAGUGGCAAGCAGCAAGAAGGAUAUCACUCAUGUUUAAUGACAUAAGGGACCUUUGUAUCUCACAUGAGUGCAGGAAUCUAGUAACUUUGCUAGUUCAGCAUAAUCCUAAUUUGGAAAGGCUCAGUCCAACAAUCUUCAAAUUCAUGCCUUCCUUGAGGGUCCUUGAUCUUUCACACACCAGCAUCACAACUCUUCCACCCUGUGAAACAUUGUCCAAGCUUAAGUAUCUCAAUUUGUCCCACACAUGCAUUGAGAGGCUUCCUGAGGAGUUUUGGGUGCUCAAAGAACUAACCCAUUUAGAUUUAAGUGUUACCAAGGCCCUUAAAGAGACAUUUGACAAUUGUUCCAAGCUACACAAGCUAAGGGUCCUAAACCUCUUCCGAAGCAACUAUGGGAUUCGUGAUGUCAAUGAUCUGAACAUUGAUUCCCUAAAAGAACUUGAGUUCCUUGGUAUCACAAUUUAUGCCGAGGAUGUGUUAAAGAAGUUGACCAAGACACAUCCGCUGGCAUAG